rnacentral:rRNA from 1 species
AAGGUGGGGAUGACGUCAAAUCAUCAUCGCCCCUUAUCGACCUGGGCUACACACGUGCUACAAUGGGCGGUACAAAGGGUCGCGAACCCGCGAGGGGGAGCCAAUCCCAAAAAGCCGCUCUCAGUUCGGAUUGCAGGCUGCAACUCGCCUGCAUGAAGCCGGAAUCGCUAGUAAUCGCGGAUCAGCAUGCCGCGGUGAAUACGUUCCCGGGCCUU